CAAGUACAAGAUUUCCAAACAGAGUAUAACCAGGAUACAACCACACUACAUGAAUAUACAAUACACAACAUUCAUUCACCAUUCACCAGAUAUUUAUUAUUUAGUGUUUAAACAUAAAAACCAUAAGAAAACUCUUUUGAAAGCUGUUUCCCACACGGAAACCUUUUAUUUUAAAACGCGCUACCACGAGGGGUAGAAAACCAUUUUUCUUUUCACAAAUUUCACAAAUCCCUUUAUUACAUUCAUGAAAACCCACAUUUUCAAAUGUAAUAAAAAUACUGAACCAUAUAAACUAUCUGAGCUAUAUCAACAUAAUAGUAAGGGUAGAAACUAAACCGAAUAACCUGAGUCGGAAGCUCUAUCGACCGCUACGAACGUGUCUCACACCUCGUCUCGACUCUCACUGCCCGCAAUACCUGAAAAAU
rnacentral:lncRNA from 1 species